rnacentral:lncRNA from 1 species
UUUGAAUGAAAUUGGCAUGAGUUCUAGUGUUUGGAACUAAAUGAUGAAACGCCUUCUAAGUAGUAACCAAGCAAAGAAUAAUGAGAUCAUGCAACGACUUUAGAAAACAAGAAUGCACAGAUUUUAACUCUCCAAAUAAACAUUUAGGCUCAAGUCUCAUAAGGUUGUAGCGUUUGUUUGAGUUCCUUCCUUCAAGCAUGUUACAAAAACUGAUUUUCCUUUAUGAUUACAUGUGAAUUCAUAAGUUAUAACCACAACCAAGCAUAAACCAAAGAGUAAAUCAAACUUUCAUCCAUGUUUAUAACUCUCUUUAACAGUCAUGCAAUUACAAACCGAAUCCUCAUCAUUGUGUUGGAAGGUACUCUAAGACACAAACAAACACACAAA